UGAUAUGGAGCAAAACCCUAAAAGCGGUCUCAGUUCGGAUUGAAGGCUGAAAUUCGCCUUCAUGAAGCUGGAAUUGCUAGUAAUGGCAGGUCAGCAUACUGCCGUGAAUACGUUCCCGGGCCUUGUACACACCGCCCGUCACACCAUGAGAGUUGGAAAUACCCGAAGCCUGUGAGCUAACAGUAGUGAGGCAGCAGUCGAAGGUAGAGCCAAUGAUUGGGGUGAAGUCGUAACAAGGUACC
rnacentral:rRNA from 1 species